CAGAGGAUGGAUAACAAAGAACCUCAACCUGAUUUCAGACUCCUAGAGAGAUGAUAACGCGAGUUCUGUACAGUAAUGGCUGGAAUAGUGGACUCCUGUCCAAGGAACCUGACGGAAACAUUGAUAGCCUCUGCCAGACUGGGAUGUGGUCAAGACAAGUAUGGUAACAAACAGUACUUAUGUCUCCCGAACUCAGAAAAGACGGGUCUGGUAGAAUUCUGUCACGAUGGAGUCAUGUGGUUAUUGGAAAGAGGUUAUUGUUUGGAAACCACUGGCGAUCAACUGUCAAAAA